UACGAAGUGGACUAGCGUUGUUCGGAAUUACUGGGCGUAAAGGGCUCGUAGGUGGCCAACUAAGUCACACGUGAAAUCCCUCGGCUUAACCGAGGAACUGCGUCCGAUACUGCGGUGCUUGAGGAUCAGAGGGGUGCAUGGAAUUUCCGGUGGAGCGGUGAAAUGCGUUGAUAUCGGAAGGAACUCCGGCGGCGAAAGCGAUGCACUGGCUGAUUUCUGACGCUGAGGUGCGAAAGCCAGGGGAGCAAACGGG
rnacentral:rRNA from 1 species